GACGAACGCUGGCGGCGUGCUUAACACAUGCAAGUCGAACGGAAAGGCCCUGCUUGUGUGGGGUGCUCGAGUGGCAAACGGGUGAGUAACACGUGAGUAACCUGCUCUUGACUUUGGGAUAACUUCAGGAAACUGGGGCUAAUAGCGGAUAGGAGCUCCUGCGGCAGGGGGGGGGUAGGAAAGUUUGGGCGGUUGGGGAUGGACGCGCGGCUUAUCAGUUUGUUGGUGGGGUAGUGGCUUACCAAGGCUUGGGCGGGUGGCCGGCCUGAGAGGGUGACCGGCCACAUUGGGCCUGAGAUCCGGCCCGGACUCCUACGGGAGGCAGCAGUGGGGAAUAUUGCACAAUGGGCGGAGGCCUGAUGCAGCAACGCCGCGUGCGGGAUGCCGGCCUUCGGUUUGUAACCCGCUUCCGCCUGUGCCGAAGCGUGAGUGACGGUACUGGGUAAAGAAGCACCGGCUAACUACGUG
rnacentral:rRNA from 1 species